ACCACACGGUUGAUAUCUUUGUCUUCCAGCACCGCAACAUCAGCAACCCCGACUUCUUUCCGCAUAACCGGAACGCUAAAUCGCAUCUGUACAACCCACAAAAUGUAGCACCCUGAAUAAUAUAAUAAGUGUCAAAUGCUCUAGCAACAAUGCGAACGUUAAUUACUUGUGGACCCCAUCCCUAAGCACAAAACAUUCGCAAUAAUACUGGGGCAUCGGUGGCCGCAACGGUUUAGGCGUUGACACGGCGCUCAUCACUGUAAGGUAAAGGUCCGGGGUUCGAAUCUUAACAAUUCGACACCACACUUAACAAUUUCCCCAGGAAGUCUUCACAUGUAUAAAAAAAAUUAUGUUGGUCAGAGCGUAGAUUGCAGUUCUUAACACAUUGAAUAACCCCUAAAACAGGGCGUCGGUGGUUACAACGGUUUAGGCGUUGACACGGCGCUCAUCACUGUAAUGUAAAGGUCCCGGGUUCGAAUCCAGCGGCCCUGCAUUCGAACACGACAUACUUCCAACUGGGCUUAUUUUUUUUUCAAAAACACCCUGAGGGUUUCUAUGACAUCUGCUGUUGCAAAAACACAACACAAAAACAGUAAUACUACAAACGAAAGCAAACCCCAUUUAAUAUGACUGAUGAUUACACACAUUAUUUUUCAAAACUACAUACUUCUAAAAUGACCGAUUUGGAGCAUACUAUUUUCAAUAUAAUGUUAACGUUCAAUGUUUAAUUUAUCAUAUCUUUCAGCUUUGAUUGAUAUUUUCGUACGGAAAUCUCUCUAACAAAUUAAUGAAAAAAUUAAACCUCUCUUUUUAAUCAGGCGAUGAUUCUCAGAAUUGUUUGAAUAGUUUUAUGUUUUGUCAUAUCGUCACGUGCUAGCAUGUGCCUCGAUUUCAGCCUACGGGCAGAAAAAAGAAAAUAAAAAUCCCCAGUUAGUUAAUAUUGUGUGUUUACAAACGGUUAAGUGAUCAGAGAUUGCUUUGGUCGGGCCUGAUAACAGAAAUCACGGUAGAAGCGUGUGUCGACGAUGACGUCGCUUUCUCAUAUAUAAACCCGGCCCAUCGCCGAUUUAAUCAAACGAUUUCCAGUGAUCGAUCAGUGCAGUCGCUACAGUUCCAACAACUCACCUAAAACCUCGAGAUGUUGAUCGGAUCAUGCAGCCGUUACGUCACCGGAGGAAGAGCUCUCCAGACGGUUUACUGGAGGGCGAAGCCUUCGACAGGCGCAGAAUCGGCCAAGAUCAUCAAAACGAGCAAAACGCUUCAUUGGGGCCGAGAAAUCGCCAAAAGGCCUUACAUCAGCGAAGCGAUCAAAAACGGUCCGAGAUUCAUGUGAAAAUCAAGAAGACUCCAAUGUACUUAUUGUAAAUAGUGUACAUAAUUUUUUUACCUAAUAAAUCUAUUUAUUUCUUCAAAA